AGUUAUGGGGGCUUUUGUAGAGAUUUCUAUGAGAACAUCUCUAAGGAACUCCCCCAAGCUGAAUUC
rnacentral:miRNA from 1 species